rnacentral:rRNA from 1 species
CGGACGGGUGAGUAAUGUAUAGGAACUUGCCUAGUAUGGGGGACAACGUGUGGAACGCACGCUAAUACCGCAUACGCUCUACGGAGGAAAGCGGGGGAUCUUCGGACCUCGUGCUACUAGAUGGGGCCUAUAUUGGAUUAGCUAGUUGGUAGGGUAUAGGGCCUACCAAGGCGACGAUCCAUAGCUGGUUUGAGAGAAUGAUCAGCCACACUGGGACUGAGACACGGCCCAG